AGGAAGAUUGAGGAAAUUCACGAUUUCAUGAGAGGGCUGAUUGAUUUGAAGUACAAGGCCUUCAAUAACAUACUUAUAGAACAAAACACAAGCAAGGUCCGUCAAUCCACCAUACAAAAGAUCCAUAUCAAAGCUAGAACCAUAUAUAGGAUCAUCAACCCCGGCAACGUCUACACAGUAUAACAUAUAAGUGCAGAGCUUGCCACCUCACUCCCCAAAUUAGGCAUUAAGUGUUUGGUCUGCGCGGUCGAACCGG
rnacentral:lncRNA from 1 species